AACAAACGCUGGCGGCGUGCCUAAUACAUGCAAGUCGAACGGGGAAAGCUUUCGGGUGAGUACUAGUGGCGCACGGGUGAGGAACGCGUGGAUAAUCUGCCUUAGAGUGGGGGAUAACUAGUCGAAAGAUUAGCUAAUACCGCAUAAGACCACGAGAGCUGCGGCUUUUGAGGUCAAAGGUUUUUCGCUCUAAGAUGAGUCCGCGUAAGAUUAGCUAGUUGGUGAGGUAACGGCUCACCAAGGCGACGAUCUUUAACUGGUCUGAGAGGAUGAUUAGUCACACUGGAACUGAGACACGGUCCAGACUCCUACGGGAGGCAGCAGGAGGGAAUAUUGCACAAUGGAGGAAACUCUGAUGCAGCGACGCCGCGUGAGUGAUGAAGGCCUUCGGGUCGUAAAGCUCUGUCGCAGGGGAAUAACACAAUGAAGGUACCCUGUAAGAAAGGAUCGGCUAACUUCGUG
rnacentral:rRNA from 1 species